AAGGUAAGGGGGAGACGUAUAAAAUGAGCAUACUUAUUUCUCAUCUUCCAAAACAGAACUUCAACAGAGAAUAUCCAAGACUGAUACAUUAAGAAGGCACAUAAGCACAUUCUCUAGGAACGUGGAAAUACUGGAGGAAACAGUACUAUGAAUUGAAAGCGAUUGCUCCCAGGCAUGGAGAAGAUGAAGUAAAAAGCACUACUGUUUGGUUUUAGGUUUUUUCCUUAAAUGCCUCUAGUAUUAUUUGCCUUUAAUGAGUGAAUGCAUUACUUUGAUAAAAGCAUAAGUGAGAAACUUAAUAAAUAGCGUAGGGGUGAGUAUCUUUGUCCCACAGGUAUUCCUUCUUACAGAUGGUAAAAAUCAUUUCUCAGUGUUUAUGGUACCACUUGCUUUCCUGUUCAGAUGUGGUUGAUACUUAACCAUCAAGCCUCUCCUAAGGGCUAAGGAUCACACAGUUAACAAAGAGGGUGCAAUCCCUGGCUUAGUGGGUGGUGCAUCAGGACAUCUUGAAAAAUCAGAAGGUUCCAUAGGAUUGUCUUCUGGGGACCAAAGAUGUGGAGGGAGUGUUGGGAACUUUAAGAGAAAGAGUGGAUGCUCAUAGCUCACAGGAAUGAAAGAAAAAUUGGGCCGAGCUUCCAGGGCUUGCUGAAGGAACAAAGAUUAGACAGGGCUGGUAUGAGCGUGUGCAGCAGUCUGCAGAGGGAAACCCCUUUUGCUGCUGGACAGCCAUGCAUUUGCAGAUGUUGAAAGAUGACAGGGCCAACAGGAAUGAAUAUUUUCUGAUGUACCCCCCCCUUUUCCCCCGGAAGCGUUCUACCAAUUUCCAUUGCUUCUAACAACGUAAAGAUACCUGUUGUAACUGUAGCACCAUUAACCUGGGGAAGACUGACAUUCCUAGAAUUUUUCCUAAUAGGUAGAAAAUGAUGCAGUGUUGUUGUGAUUUGUGUGUCUCUCUUUGUUGCUUAUUAUACCCAUGAUUGUUAUAACACUAGUUAGGCUUUUUCUUGCACUUGUGUUCUGUUGAAAGGUUUUUUUUUUUUUUUUUUUUUUUAAACUUCAGCAUAUUAUUUCUUUUGAAAUUUAACCACAGCUCUAUCAAAAAAAAAAAAAAACCUUCAAAAUCAAAUCCUUAGCUUGAUUUUUUUUUUGCUUUUUAGGGUCACAAUUGAGGCAUGUGGAGGUUCCCAAGCUAGGAGUCUAAUUGAAGCUACAGCUGCCGGCCUACACCACAGCCACAGCGACGCCAGAACCAAGCAAACCAAGCAGCGUCACGGUAAUACCAGAUCCCUAACCCACUGAGCAAGGCUAGGGAUCGAACCUGCAACCUCAUGGUUCCUAGUUGGAUUCACUUCUGCUGAGCUGCGACGGGAACCCUAGCUUGAUUUUUAAUCACCAUAAAUUACAGUCCUCUCAAGGGAUGCUGUACAAAAAUUAACACGUCAGGGAGUUGGGGUGGAAUGUGGACAACUUUCUGGAAGAGACUGUACCCAAAUGCAGUCUUGGAGGAGGAGAAAGAAUUAAACAAGAGAAAGAGGGGUGGGUAGGACUGAACCCAGAGAAGGAGGGAAGAGAAUUGCAUGAGGUUGUUUUUCAGGAGAAGCUGCCAUUCAGUUUGUCCUGAAGGCUCCAGAGCGCAUUCAAGGCCUUGGCGCAGGUUCCCUUUCCCCUUUGCCGGAGUUGAAGGCUCAGAGUGCAGUGCUGUUAACCAGGGAGAUGGGUGGUGCACCUGGGAAAUUCUUUUGCCUUGAGAGCAGAGGGAAGCUAUUGUAAAGUUUCCAGCAAGUGAGUGUUAAGUGUUGGUCUGCAUGCAUGCACUUUAUAAACACUCCGUCCUGAUUAGGCAAAGUGAUCAAAUUUUAAAGCGCAAGAUAAUGCAAACACACCGGACUAUUUUUUAAGACCAGACUUACCUUGUCCAGCUGGGGGCUUUCUUUCACUUUGCCCCAAAGACCAAGAGGGUGGCCCAGAAACUUCCUGCCGCAAGGUUUUACCUUUGAGCACUUAGUUUGCAUUUUACUUAACUUUUUUUUUCUUAGUUUCUAAAUUAAUAUUUAAGUGAUAAAGUUUAUAGAUUUGUGAGUAAAAUCUCAUUUAGAAAUCAGGGAUUUUUAAGUUGGAGGCAGAGAUAAAAGUAAUUUUAUUUGAAGGCUAUAUAUAAUGUGUAUAUUUGUAUGUACAUAAUUAGUUUAAAAUCAUAAAUUUUUGCAUCCUGAGGAAAACAUUUACAUAGUAAAAAAACUUGGAGGAUUGUGGUGUGCAUUGAAUUAAAGUUAUUUCAUUUGUUCUUAAUUUUGGUUGACAAGUUGCUGGAAACAUUGGUAGAGGGCCCUUAUUUUCAGGACCAGGAGAAGUAUACAAAAAGACUCAAAGUGUCUCAGCUGUGAAGUGUUCCAUCAAGUACUUUCCGUCAGGUUGGCCGGGGAGCACCCUGCCUCUCUGAUCAUAAGUAGAUUCUUUUCAGUCUUCAUCACCCUCUGCCUUUCUUUUCUGGUUCUGUAAGGAGUGGAGUCUCUUCAGAUGUGCUACCCCCUGCACUGCAUCCUUUCUCUCCCCUGUUCAUAUUCAAAGCCUGUCUUACUGUGUUUGCACACCAACCCACACAGGGAGUCUGGGAGACCUCAUCAGUAGACAGGAGUAGCUCCUGGCGGAUUGGGAUUGGGCCGUCUUGAAAGAGAGACAUAUUUCUCACUUUUUCAGCACUAUUUCAGUUUUUUUAUUUUAAACAAGAAGCAAUUCAUGCCUUGAUUUAAAAACAACUUUGAAAAGGGGACAGCAAAGGAGAGAUUUUUGUGCAGGAGAUUAUCGUGACCAUCAUUAAUUGGAAGGCAGUCAUUUUUAAUCUCUGGUUUCUGUUGUCUCUGCCACCCCGCUAUCCUGUGAAUGUGUUUACUUUGCUAGGAUUCCUAAUAGCUGGUUCUGUUGCACAGUAGUUAUUUCAUAGUGGUGGUGCCUUAUCUACUUCUGAUUGGCUUCUUGUUGCUCUUUUAAAAGACGUGCUCGUUUUUUAUGACUAUUUUUCAUGCCCUUUGAUGAUGAGUGGAUUGAUGGCAGGAAGGUCAAGCUGUAUUACUUUCAUUCACUGCUGUUGUGAAGGCUCCUCGAAAGAGAAAGAUGGAGCCGAAAUCAAUAUUAAAUUUCAAUAAUGUGGACUUUUUUUAGCAUGUCUUUCUCCACAUGGAUAUUUAUGAGAUAAUCAUAAUUAUAAUAUAAAUUGUAUUAAUGUAUCAGUUAAUCUCUAGUUCAUCUUAGCUGGGACCGUGGAGCUUUUGUUGCAAAUGAUUCCGUUUCAAGAAUGCUGAGUUUCUCUGCUUUGGGGUCAAGGAUUGGAUGGAUCUCUUUCCUCCAGAACCUAAAAAUCUAAUUGAUGAGAAAAGACCCAACCACGUGUAGAGUUAAUUUCAGAAAGUAGUGGAAGGAGAGGCACUUUGGAGAGAGCUGGGUGCUCUGGUGCAAGGAAUGUCGCUUAGGGAUCCGGCUCUCUUGGCCACAGGGUCCUCAUAGGCAAACUGCAGCAGGGGAUACCCGCCUGCAGAUUGAUGUGAGGAGUAAAUGAGGUGGUUAAGGCUCCGUGGCUCAUACAUGGGGAUGCUCCGACGGUAGUUACGGCUGGUGGCAGCAGAUGAAAAGUAAGUUCUAGAAGGACAGCCUGCUGUGGCAGACAGGCUAAGAGUCAGGGAAUGAGGAGAUCUGGCACCCCCUGUGGGCUCUGCCCCUGGCUGUGUCACCUUGGUGGCCUACAGUUUCUGGCCCCAAGCAUACCCCCCAUCCCUUCUGGAAAAUGAAGGGCUCAGACAAGGUGUUCUUUGAAUAACCCACAGUUUAAACUUCUGAAGGUCAGCAGGAGAGAUACCGUCAAUUCAGGUCCAGUGAUCCACUGGAGCUUCAUGAAAAGGUGCCCGUAUUUAUUUCCACAGGAAGAAGGAAGGCACUUGGGGGUGGGUGUCUCGUCGUCCUGACCUCCAGGCCUAAGUCCCCCAGUAGUGUGGUUCCUUGGAGGGGCCUCCAAAGGCAGUGUCGCAACCACUGCAGCAUUUUAAGGGAGUUCAUUAUCAGUAUUUUCCCCCACUGGGUGUGUUCUGGCUGGAUGUAGAGACUGAUACCUGGAUUGGGCUUCAGAAGUGAUACUCAGGCUGUAAGUGGAAGCCUUUUUUCUUUUAUAAUGCACUUUCAAAGUAGUUUUCUGCCAUAAAUCCUCCAACUGCCAGCCCAGCAUUCACUGAGGGGGAGCCGGCCCCACAGCAAGCCCGUUGUCAGAUAGUCUGCUUCUGUCUCUGUAGGUGGAGAUGCUCACCUCCCAGGUGCCUGUGAGGCCUGAGGGAAUGCACACGGGACAGGGAGUGGGAGGGAUGCAGGCCCACUCUCCCCCACCUCGGGAGAGUUAUCCUCAGAAAUGAGCAUCCGAUGAAACGGACAAAUAACCCAUCUGCAGUCUGAACUUAAGGAAGUCCUAAGGCAGUGUGGAGUGAUUUUAUGUUUUAAUUUUUUUCCUUUUAAGUUCUUGGUCCUUGGAUGGUAUUUGUAAAUCUCCCGUUGUGGCUCAGCAGGUUAAGGCGCCAACCUUGUCUCUAUGAAGACACAGGUUCGAUCCCUGGCCUCACUCAGUGGGGUUAAGGAUCCGGCAUUGCUUCAGGCUGCAGUGCAGGUCACAGAUGUGGCUUGGAUUCGAGCCCUGGCCUGGGAACAUCCAUGAGCCGCAGGAGCGGCCCUAAAAAGAAGACAAAUCUGCUAAAUGAAAUAUGGUUACUAUUUACAUUAAUUGUGACGACCAAUAGUGAUUAGGUUAUAAGAGUUGCAUGUGGAAGGAACUUUAUGUUCACCCAUUGUUCUUCCUGAUGUGACUGAUUUUCUGCUCUUUUCUUAAACUGAAGGUAAAAAUGCUUUUCAAGUGCCCUUAGAUUCUUUUUGGGAUAUAAAUAUUCAGAUGAGAAAGUCCUGGUUAUCCUUGGCAAAGCCAGUUGUGAUGUUCUGUCUCACUGAACCUUCCGGUGUCCCACACUCCUCUCUUCCUCUUCCAGCUGGAUUAUGGGGACUUGAGGGUGGAACUGUUCCUUGGCUCCUCUGAUGAUGAUUGGGUUAGUGCAAAGCACUCAACAGGCUCAAAGAGCUCAGGUUUGUAGCCUGAAAAGCUUAAUGAUGCAAAUUCUAAGCUGCAGUUCAUCAGGUGUGGAUCAAAGGCAAUUUUCAUGGCUUCUCUAGUUGAAACCUGACUUAAUACAGUUCAGAUUCCCUCCUGCCCUCAGAGAAAGUCAAUACUUCCAGGUUCUUCCUUUCCGGGUUAGAUAUACAGUUUCAGUUCAGCCAUCGAUACCUUAUAGCACUAUCAUAAUGCUCUCUGGUGUCGCCCUGCAGGCCAAACAGUGACAUUCUUGAAAUGGAGUCAGAAUCUCUGCAGAGGGUUGUGAGGACAAAAAGUGGGAACGUGGGUGUGUUCCAGGAAAGGGCCGCGAGUGAUGGUGAUUCAGUCUGUGCUUGGUUUAGGGAGCCUCGCCUUCCCCAGGUCACUGCAACCUUGUGAAAGGGUGAAAAAGAGUCUCUUGGCUGUGAGGGGGCGUUUAUGUUAAUAUGAAAUAUAAAGAAAGAAAUGAGGAAAUACAAGCAAUUGUGCUAAUCAUUAUAUAAAGUAAUUAUUCAAAUCCCAUAAAUACUACUAAUCUUACAAUCUUUAGUGCUAGUACUUCAUGUAGCCCUCUUUGAUUCCAUCUUAAUGAGGGGAUUGAGGACAAGAUCAUCUUGUUGGAAGAACCUGAUGUCUGUUGCAUUUUGACUUGUUUGGUGAUUUGAGUGGUUGGAGGUUUAAGGGCCCGUAUUUAAUAAUUAGUAUUCACAUGUGUGUUCAUCCUACUGCAUUCCCAUAUUUUAUUUUUUUUUUAGUAAUGGAAUGAUGAACUUUUUUUUUCUCCUUUCUGAUUAUAAAAGUUAUACAUGCUCAUUUUAGAAAGUAGAUAAUAUAGACAAAU
rnacentral:lncRNA from 1 species